rfam:Nocardiopsis sp. JB363 genome assembly, contig: Scaffold39
AGCAUCGCGGAGCUCGACCGCCCACACAUCAGGUAAGAGCGUUCAUCGACAUCCACCAGCACCAGUUCGGGGUCGAGCCGAUCUGCCGCACGCUGCAGGUCGCCCCG